rnacentral:lncRNA from 1 species
UCAGAAUGCUGGAAAGCAUAGUUGUUUUUGGUCCGGCAACAACACCGAUAAGAUGAAACUGACAACUGGCCGAGAGGCUACAGUAUGGUGAUAAUGCGAACCAUCACCGUUUGCAAGAAUGGAUAACAACACAUUUACGAACUUGUCUUCGACAUUGAGGGGCUUGGAUUUCUUGCAAAAUGACAGAACAAUUUGUGUCAAUGAGGCAAUGCACAUAUUUUUGCAUACUAUUAGGCAUACAGUUCGCAAUAUAAUGAUUCCUUAGAAAUUUCAACAUUCUAAACAAACAGUGUCUAGACAAUUUAAUAUAGUUCUCAAAGCAAUAUGUCAACUUGGUACUCAGAUAAUUCAACC